rnacentral:rRNA from 1 species
UAAUACGGGAGGGGCAAGCGUUAUCCAAAAUUACUGGGCGUAAAGUGUCCGUAGACUGUUCUAUAAGUUUUAUAUCAAAGUUUAAAGCUUAACUUUAAAAAAAUAUAAAAUACUGUUUUACUUGAGUUUUUUAUAGAAGAGUAGAAUUUCAUGUUAAAGAGUAAAUUCUAAAAAUACAUGAAGGAAUAUCAAAAGCGAAAGCGACUCUUUAGUACAAACUGACGUUGAGGGACGAAAGUGUAGGGAGCAAACAGGAUUAGAUACCCUGGUAGUCUACACUGUAAAUUCUGAGUGCUGUAAUUUAAAUUAAAAAUUUUAGAUUUUUAAGCUAACGCCAUAAGCACUCCGCCUGAGGAGUAUGAUCGCAAGAUUGGAACUCAAAGGAAUUGACGGGAGCCUACAACGAGUGGUGGAGCAUGUGGUUUAAUGCGAUAAUCCGCGCAAAACCUUACCAACCCUUGACAUAUUAAAAAAUAAUUUGAAUCCUUUACAAGAGCGUAACUCUUAUUUUUAAGAAUUUACUUUUUAUUUAUUAAAUCGUUAAAUGUUGUACAAUGCGACAUAAUAAAUAUUGCUUUAAAAAGACUGUGAAGCUAAAAAUAAAAUUUCAAAGGAAGGUGAGAAUUAAGUCAAGUCACUGUGGCCCUUAUGGGUUGGGCUACACACGUGCUACAAUGAAAAUGACAAAAAGUAACAAAAAUUAAAAACUUUCGUUAAUCUUUAAAAAUUUUCUUAGUUCAGAUUGUAAACUGCAACCCGUUUACAUAAAGAUGGAAUCACAAGUAAUCGCAAAUCAGAACGUUGCGGUGAAUACGUACCUUGGCUUUGUACACACCGCCCGUCACAUGCAGAAAGCUAGUUUUACUUUAAAUUAAAUUUUUUUUAUUUGUUCAAUUGAAGUGUUCAUAUGUGAAUAAAUAAAAAAUUUAAUCAUUAAAAAAUUAGUAAUUUGGAUGAAGGCGUAACAAGGUAGAGCUCUCAGUCAGUCAAAUCACUAGUGAAUUC